UACGUAGGGGGCAAGCGUUGUCCGGAAUCAUUGGGCGUAAAGCGCACGUAGGCGGCUGGGUCCGUCCGAUGUGAAGCCCCGGCUCAACCGGGGAAUUGCAUCGGAUACAGCCCGGCUUGAGGACGGUUGGGUGAGUGGAACGUCCGUGGUGGAGCGGUGAAAUGCGCAGGAUAUUAGGAGAACACCGGUGGCGAAGGCGGUCCAC
rnacentral:rRNA from 1 species